rnacentral:rRNA from 1 species
UACAGAGGGUGCAAGCGUUGUUCGGAAUUAUUGGGCGUAAAGCGCGUGUAGGCGGCAGUGCAAGUCGGGUGUGAAAGCCCUCGGCUCAACCGAGGAAGUGCGCUCGAAACUGCAUUGCUUGAGUACCGGAGAGGAUGGCGGAAUUCCCGAAGUAGAGGUGAAAUUCGUAGAUAUCGGGGAGGAACACCGGUGGCGAAGGCGGCCAUCUGGACGGAUACUGACGCUGAGACGCG